AUGGGUGUGGAGAAUGGUUCAUUGGUGACCGAAUUCAUUCUGCAGGGAUUGACAAGUGAUCCUGAUCUCCAGUUACCCCUGUUCUUACUCUUUCUGCUAAUAUACACAACAACAGCACUGGGGAAUUUGUCCUUGAUCACUUUAAUUGCACUGAAUUCUCACCUUCACACCCCCAUGUACUUUUUCCUUUUAAACUUGUCUUUCAUUGACCUUUGUUAUUCAUCUGUAAUUACACCCAAAAUGCUGAUGAACUUCUUAGUAAGGAAGAACUUUAUCUCCUAUGUAGGAUGUAUGACCCAGCUCUAUUUAUUUGUUUUUUUUGCUGUUAGUGAAUGUUGUGUUCUGUCAUCAAUGGCCUAUGAUCGUUAUGUGGCCAUAUGCAAUCCACUCUUGUAUAACAUUGCUAUGUCUCCCAAGGUUUGUUCCUAUCUUAUGCUUGGUUCAUACAUAAUGGGAUUUUCUGGUGCCAUGAUUCACACUGGAUGGAUGCUUAGACUGACCUUCUGUGACAGGAGCAUUAUCAACCACUAUUUCUGUGAUCUACUCCCUUAUUGCAGCUCUCCUGUACCAACACCUAUGCCAAUGAGAUUGAGAUUAUUAUUGUAGGUGGAAUUGAUAUCAUUGUUCCCAGUAUUAUCAUUUUUACUUCUUAUGGCUUCGUUCUCUCUAACAUCUUCCAAAUGAGAUCUACUGAGGGCAGAUCCAAAGCCUUCAGCACCUGCAGUUCCCACAUAGUUGCUGUUUCUUUAUUCUUUGGUUCAGGCGCAUUCAUGUAUCUUCAACCCUCUUCACCUGAGUCUAUGGAUCAGGGAAAAAGGUCUUCGGUUUUUUAUACCAUAUUGGUGCCUAUGAUGAAUCCCUUAAUCUAUAGUUUGAGGAACAAAGAUGUGAAAAUUGCCCUGAAAAAAACAUUUAGCACGCAGAGUGUUUGA